UACGUAGGCAGCAGGCGUUAUUCGGAAUCACUGGGCUUAAAGCGCGUGUAGGCGGCCCGGAGCAUCGUCGGCUGAAAUCCCCCGGCCCAACCGGGGAACGGGCCACGAGAUGUCCGGGCUGGAGGGGGGUAGGGGGAGCCGGAACUCACGGUGGAGCGGUGAAAUGCGUUGAGAUCGUGAGGAACGCCCGUGGCGAAAGCGGGCUCCUGGACCCCGCCUGACGCUGAGACGCGAAAGCCAGGGGAGCGAACGGGG
rnacentral:rRNA from 1 species